AGUGGCUAUGGCGGGAGCACUUUAAAACCCAAGUACCCUCCACUAGCGCUCUUUUCCUGCGCCUGCUCCCGCCCGAAGAUCUGCACUCGGUGUGCGAGCGCGCAGUGUGCGUUACAUUCUGGAAUUUGUGGUUUCGUUGGUCCUCAGAUGUGAUGACACUUUCUUAGUAUUGUGUCGAGGAGCUCGGCGCAAGGGUUUCCGCAUUCCUUGCAAUUGCCACGCAUUGAGAUGUAGUCAAUCACGCGAGAUUGUUGUGCUUGGAUUACGCUCGCGGUGAGUGGCACGAGAGUCUAGGGUUUCGAUGAGGUUUCCUGUUGGAUGCUGGACGUUGUGACUUGGUCGCGGAGAGCGUUGUGUUGCAGCGUUGGUAGAAGCAAUGCUCUAGGGUGUGUACCUGAAAUAUUUUGUUGAUUCCUCUUUCUUUUCUCUGUUUUUCUUUUUGUCUUUUUUCUUGUUUUGGCUUUCCUGUAUGCAAGUCCGUUUUUCUACUCUGUGCGUACAGAUUUAUUCGUUACGGAUCGAUAGUGUCUUGAACUUGAGCAGUGAAAGGGGUUUGUGCUUGCAGUUUUCAUGUGUUUCUUUUUCCGUGGUAGCAAAGUUUAUUGGUUUUCUGCGCAGGGGCUACGUUUCAAUACUGCUUGAAUGCAAAGGACUUCGCAAUUUGUAGCUCAAUCAGGGUUUGGUCGCUGGGCUACAGAGGACUGGCUGUGGCCGGACUAGAGAUCGUAUAUGUCGGCUCCGAGGAAAUAUCAUUACAUUGACAAGGGCAAGGUGGAGUGCUUAGUAAUUUCUGAUGAAGUAUCAGCAUGUGUACCAUGUGGUGGAUCAUCAUGGUUUAAACUUUAUUUUACGGAAUGACUUAUAGAGGUUCUUAUAGCACCGCACGGCGCGCGUGCGUGAAGGCGCGUUUCGGGUUCUAGCGUUGAUGCGAACGAGGGAGUUUCAGCGUAUUGAAUGCUGUGCUAUUUAUCCGAAGAUACUGGAGCUGCAGGUUGACAUCUGACGGAAUCUUAAGGAACUGCUGCAGGCAUUUGCCGUUUCACACCUUAUUUUCCCAGAGUUGAAUAUACGUGACGGAGUGAUCAAUAUUUGAUUCUGGAUUAGAUAGCUUCACGCGGACAUGGCGAUGGUGACUGAACCAGCUACGCGGAAGCGGGUGAUUAGCAUGCCGCAGUCAGAGAGAAAUCCCUCUUGGAUGAAUAGUCCGUUUGUUCCCUUUACUCCUUUUGGGUUGGCCAAUAGGUCCGAGAUCACUCCUCCUUUUGAGAAAAGACUAAGAAUUGUAGAAAGACCUGUAUCCACCUUCAAGUGGGAACCGGAUCUGCCUGGGACUCUGCAGUUUUCGGCUGGAAGUGGUUACAAGGAUAUUGAAGUGAAAACACCGUUGCCUGCAGCUUGGCAGUGGCGUCCAUCACAAAGAGUAUCUCAGGAUUUGUUCACCCCUCCUGCUGUCAAACAUUCAGGAGAGAAGUACGAGCUUGUUAAAAAAGAACUGAAAGAGCGUAAUUCGUGGUUCGCAAAACUUGAUCGCUCGAUAGGGUUAGCUGAAAAUGCCCUUGAUAUGGUAGGAAGUCCAGCUAUGGGUCUAAAACUCACUUUAGCACCCACUGAAUCAUACUAUCAGAAAUAUGUAAACGUAAAACGCGAGUUGGAGGAUUAUAAACGUGUGGUGCAGACCGUGAACUCUUUUAUUCCUCUUAGCUCCAGUAGCAAUAGCGCACCAUUUUCACCUUUGAAAAAUAUCAGACUACGAGGGAGCAAUUUAAAACAGGGCCCAAGGAAUCUGUACAAUAUGCAAAGAGAGGUUGCUGGUGAGCCCGGAUGGAGUGGAAGUUUUUUGAAUCAUGGCAUGCCGAAUGGAGUUCUGCACAGAACCCUUACAGACGAUGAGGCUGAACCUGGUAAAGUCGUUUCUCCACAUUCUAGUGCCCAACUUACAUCUGAAUCAGGUGCACUGCAAGACCAGAGUGAAGUCCAUGUGUCGAGGGAUGAUAGUAAAGCGGAGCUUUGGCGAGCACUCUAUGAUAGAACUCAAGAUCCUGCAAAGCAAGCUCAAAGGGAGUCACGAGAAAAGGACAUAGAAGAUCUCCAGGAUUUAUAUGCACGAUUACAAUUGAAUCGAGAAGAGGAUAGCAUAAGACGACAACAAGAGCGUAAAGCAAGUAAAAAGGAAGAGGUGGGCGAAGCUUUUAUUCCGUUGCCCAUUGAUGCCGAAGAGGCUGUGGAGGAUGCUUUGUAUAACGGCAACAGGCAUGAGUUACUUAUACUUCAUGAAGAGACAAACAUCGAGGUGACGAGAGCCAUCAUACAGUGUUUGGUACCGGGUGCAUGGCUUAACGAUGAAGUUAUCAAUGUUUAUAUGCAGCUUCUGAAAGAAAGGGAGAGUCGCAAUCCAGACAAGUUUUUGAGAUGUCAUUUUUUCAACACUUUUUUUUACAACAAGCUUUUCAAGGACAAACGUAGUUAUGAUUAUAAAUCAGUUCGAAGAUGGACCACACAAAAGAAAAUUGGUUACAGCCUUGCAGAUUGUGAUAAAAUUCUUGUCCCAAUUCAUCAAGACAUUCACUGGUGCUUGGCAGUCAUCAAUAUACGGGAUCAGAAGUUUGAAUAUUUAGACUCAUUGAAAGGUCGCGAUGAGACUGUUCUUAAAGUACUUGCAAAAUAUUUAGUAGACGAGGUGAAGGAUAAGAACAACCGUACUCUGGACGUAAGCAAAUGGGAAAGCGAUUUUCCGCAGGAUAUUCCGGAACAACUGAACGGUUGUGACUGCGGAAUGUUCAUGCUGAAAUAUGCUGACUUUCAUGGCCGGGGAGCUCCAUUAUCUUUCACUCAGGAACAUAUGGAAUAUUUUCGGAGGAGGACAGUUUAUGAAAUAUUACAGAAUGAGGCAACAUGACGGGCUAGGAGAGUGUAAUAGCUUCGUGCAAAAUGACCUCAAGUUCCUGCGCUUAGAUGAUAUUCUGAUGCAAAGACCUUGCCUAGCGGGGAUGACAAGCUUUCGAAGGAUGGAGGUAGAAUGGUUGGGAUACAUUGUGUUAAGUACCUGCAUGUCAUGUACAAAAAAGUAUACCAUGUCAUCAUCCUUCAAUUGUCGACUGUAGACCAAAACAUCUGAAUGCAACGUCUGAAGCAUCUCUGAAUCUGUACACCCUUCAGAGUUUUUUCGUACGAGAUUUUCCUCCAGAACGCUCAGCGUCUGUUCUAGAAAGACGCCUCUUGUGAGGCCAUUCAUCAAACUUGGUUUCAUUUACAAAGUAUUUUUGAAUUGAAUGCAUACUCGUGGGUUUUGAACAGUAGUAAGCUUAUGAGUUGUGUAAUAUGCCGCUCAUAUGCAGGAACAUUAAUCAAAAAUUGCAUUUUUUAUUUUUA